AACGAACGCUGGCGGCAUGCCUAACACAUGCAAGUCGAACGAGACCUUCGGGUCUAGUGGCGCACGGGUGCGUAACGCGUGGGAACCUGCCCUUAGGUUCGGAAUAACUCCCCGAAAAGGAUGCUAAUACCGGAUAAUGUCUCCGGACCAAAGAUUUAUCGCCUUUGGAUGGGCCCGCGUUGGAUUAGCUAGUUGGUAGGGUAAAAGCCUACCAAGGCGACGAUCGAUAGCUGGUCUGGGAGGAUGAUCAGCCACACUGGGACUGAGACACGGCCCCGACUACGACGGGAGGCAGCAGUGGAGAAUAUUGGACGGUGGGAGCAAUCCUGAAGCAGCAAUGCCGGGUGAGUGAUGAAGGCCUGAGGGUUGUAAAGCUCUUUUACCCGGGAUGAUAAUGACAGUACCGGGAGAAUAAGCUCCGGCUAACUCCGUG
rnacentral:rRNA from 1 species